rnacentral:rRNA from 1 species
GACGAACCGUGCAAACGUUGUUCGGAAUCACUGGGCUUAAAGGGCGCGUAGGCGGUCGACCAAGUCCGGGGUGAAAUCUUUCGGCUUAACCGGAAAAGUGCCUUGGAUACUGGCCGGCUGGAGGGAGGUAGGGGCAGGUGGAACUUCCAGUGGAGCGGUGAAAUGCGUCGAUAUUGGAAGGAACGCCGGUGGCGAAAGCGACCUGCUGGACCUCUUCUGACGCUGAGGCGCGAAAGCUAGGGGAGCAAACGGG